rnacentral:rRNA from 1 species
UACGUAGGGUGCGAGCGUUUGUCCGGAAUUAUUGGGCGUAAAGAGCUCGUAGGCGGUUUGUCACGUCUGCUGUGAAAACUGGAGGCUCAACCUCCAGCCUGCAGUGGGUACGGGCAGACUAGAGUGCGGUAGGGGGAGAUUGGAAUUCCUGGUGUAGCGGUGGAAUGCGCAGAUAUCAGGAGGAACACCGGUGGCGAAGGCGGGACUCUGGGCCGAUACUGACGCUGGAGGAGCGAAAGCGUGGGGAGCGAACAGG